UGCGGGGUGGAGCAGUCUGGUAGCUCGUCGGGCUCAUAACCCGAAGGUCGUAGGUUCAAAUCCUACCCCCGCGACCA
rnacentral:tRNA from 1 species